rnacentral:lncRNA from 1 species
GGAGAGUCCUCAAGAUGGAUUUUCACAAAUCCUGCAGCGCACUAACUGGGAGGAAGAAACGAUACAGAAAAUAAGAGUGUCGGCCAUCCCCCUCUCUGCAACCGAAAUUACAGGCUCCAUUUCCUGUCCCCUUGGGAACUGCAAAAUCCUCUGCUGAAAACCGGACGCCUCCCAGCCCCUCCAGGCCGGCGCACGCGGCCGCCGCGCUCCCCCUUCCCGGGCCCCGUGGGCGCCAGGGGGCGGCGGGGACCCACGGCGCCCUCCCCUCCCCCUCCCCGCACGGCACCCACCUCGGGGCAGCGGCUUCACCUCCCCGUUCUCCUCCCGGGAGGCCCCGCCGGCCUCUCGGGCCCCACCGAGACCGUGCCUCCUCCUCUCCUUCUCCCGCUUCUCCUUAGGUCUGCGCGACUUGGCGUUAGCCGAGGCAGCGGCGGCGGCGGCGGGCAGGAGGAGAUGGUGAGGCUGAGCGUGCAGCAGCGUAGGAGGGACCAGCAGUUUGCGCGGCACCGGCUGAGACAAGGAAGCGGAGGCUGAGGAGGGAACGGCCGUGCCAGCGGAGAAAGAGAAACUGCUCCGAGAAGAGGACGGGGAGGGAGCAGCAGACAGAGGGGCAAAGCUCCAAGACGCGGGGCUGCCAUAGCUCUGAGGCGAAGGUGCUGCCGGCGGCUGCAGCUGCCUGCUGUUCCCGCCGCUGCCCCCUUCUCCGUUCACUCUCCGCGGUGCCUUCUUCUCCUCAGUCCGGACCUUCUUGGCGGACAGAGAACCCGGAGGGUCCCGGGAGGAGAGUUGCAGCUUGCCAAACGGUUCUUUCUCCGAGACGGUGGCGGUGGGGGCCGCGGCAGCGACACAGUGCACGGGGCUCGGCGGUUCCGCCAUUUUGCGCUCCUGUUGUAUUUACUCUCCUCCGCUAGCCGGCGCGGGGCAGGGGGCGGGCCCUCCGCGAGGGGUAGGGAAGGGGCGGAGCGGCCAGGCCACCAGCCGGCAUUGCUCCAUUGGGCAAGCCACGCUGAGGGAUCCACCUAAGAGCCAAUCAAAGGCACAAACAUCAGACGAAGGGGCGGGAUCGCCACAGGGACCCUCUUCGGAGGUCAGAGCUCGGCGGGGUGCGGCUAGUGGCGGAGCGCGCUGCGAGGGGAGGGCUUUCCACUGUCGCUGGCGUGAACUCGCGUGCCCGGUGGGUAUCAGGGAAGAACCCCCGCCCCGGACCCCCAGAUCUGCCAUGGCCGAGGUAGCGAUCGUCUCUGCGGCCACGAAGACUGUUUUAACUUGUACCACUUUCCCUUCCAUUUUUCCUGGGGUGCCUCUCACCCUGCAUCUGCGCGUUCAGCAAGCUGGAUUUCGGGAAUGCUCAGUUCAGAAGAGAAAAAAUUGCCGGGAAUCAAGUCCUUCUUUUUGUUAGUCGGUAGUCGAUUGAUGGGAAGUGUUCAAAAUCAUUCGAUGUGGUGACAAGGGCUUCACCAGGUACUGCCUUCUAACGAGCUGGCCAUUUCCACAUGUCAGAUAGGACCAACUUGCCUUUUAACUACCCGUGUGAUACUUAAACACUGUUGCCGGUAUCACAGCUUUUCUUCAAAACAGGGAAGCAACGAGAAUGAGGGCAUUCCAGUAGCAGGAGACAGCAUGCAUAGAGAUGCUGAUGAAGAAAGAGCCUAGCGCACGUGGGAAACUGCAAAAGUUCAGACUGGUUGGAAUGCUGGAAAUGUUGUGAAUGACAGGAGAUGAGGCUGGCGAGAAAACAGAGGUCAGAUUGUGGAAGGCUGUCAAGCCAAAGACUUUGAUUUUAUUCUUGAGAUUGAUGAGAUGUGUGUAAUCCAGGAGUGUGCAAAACAAUCUGUAAGGGUUCAGAAAACAUACUGCUUCUAUAUAUAGUUACCUUUGUCUUAACUUGAAAAUUUCAAAUUGUGUAGGAGUUACAAUGUGUGUAAUUGUUAUUAUAGUACUGGAUCCAAAUAAUUUAUAAAUAAAUAAAUAUAGACAUAAU